GUACUUUCUGUGAACUACGGUGGCCCAGAGAGGGCAGGUGUGUUCUCUCGAAUGGCGGCGUGAGGAGAGUUGGUCCGAGCGAGAUCCCAGGCAGGUUUCACUGAAGAAACAUCUUAGAGAUUUAUCGCACUUCUGAGAUUCAAUAUUUACAACUUGGAGUUGUCAGCCUUCUUGUAAGAUACAUUUUGGAAGUCAAAAUGAAAGUUUUCUGUGAAGUUUUAGAACAGUUAUACAAGAAAGUAAUUCUUGGAGCCACACCUGAAAAUGACAGCCACGAUUACAUCUUUUAUCUCAACCCAGCAGUUUCAGAUCAAGAUUGCUCUACAGCCACCUCCUUAGGACAGGCAAACACUGGUAUCCAGGGCCGGCAUCAGCCCAUCUCUGUCGGUUUGGCUCCCAUUGCUGUAGCACCCACGUGUUUGGAGAGCAGCUCUCAGAUGAGCAGUUCCCGAGAAGUAAUGCUCCUUCAGUUGACAGUGAUCAAAGUGAUGACGACUCAAAUAUUGUCCGUCAAAACUGAUUUCCAUGCAAAGGAGAAAUACAGAGAUAUCAUUAAAAUUCUCUUAGAAUCAGCCGAAGUCGAUUCUAAAUUAAUCUGUAUGUUCCAAAAUUCAGAUAAAUUGUUAUCUCACAUGGCUGCACAGUGCCUUGCAUUGCUUCUAUAUUUCCAAUUGAGAGAAAAGGUAAGAUAAGUCAUCAAAGUAUGUUAUUAUUUCUCUUUCUUAAUUUUUUUUAAUUUAAAUUUUUUGUGGCGACUAGGUCUCACCGUGUUGCCCAAUCUGGUCUCAGACUCCUGGGCUCAAGCAAUCCUCCUGCCUCAGCCUCCCAAAGUGCUGGGAUUACAGGCAAGAGCCAUGGCACCCAACCUACUUCUCUUAUAGUUUCUUUUUUUCUUUUUUUGAGAUGA
rnacentral:lncRNA from 1 species